GGGUGGUAAUGCCGGAUGCUCCAGUUGACCGCAUGGUCCUCUGGGAAAGAUUCAUCGGUAUGGGAUGGGGUCGCGUCCUAUCAGCUUGAUGGCGGGGUAACGGCCCACCAUGGCUUCGACGGGUAGCCGGCCUGAGAGGGCGACCGGCCACAUUGGGACUGAGAUACGGCCCAGACUCCUACGGGAGGCAGCAGUGGGGAAUAUUGCACAAUGGGCGCAAGCCUGAUGCAGCGACGCCGCGUGCGGGAUGACGGCCUUCGGGUUGUAAACCGCUUUUGACUGGGAGCAAGCCCUUCGGGGUGAGUGUACCUUUCGAAUAAGCACCGGCUAACUACGUGCCAACAGCCGCGGUAAU
rnacentral:rRNA from 1 species